GUUUGAUAUAAUGCUUAUGUAUGUCCGUGUCUUUUGGCAUGUUCAUACCUUGUACAGCAUGUAGAGGGGCGGCCGAAGGCAUAAUAGUCCCAUUUUAGUUGGGUUGGUGGCCUCUUUAGGCUUGUAAAUAAAGGUUGUGUCAUGUGGACACGUGCGAGAGAUCUUCGGUCUGUAAUGGACCAUUUUACCCUUUGUUGUG
rnacentral:lncRNA from 1 species